rnacentral:rRNA from 1 species
AUUGAACGCUGGCGGCAUGCCUUACACAUGCAAGUCGAACGGCAGCACGGGGCAACCUGGUGGCGAGUGGCGAACGGGGGAGUAAUGCAUCGGAACGUACCUUUCAGUGGGGGAUAACGUAGCGAAAGUUACGCUAAUACCGCAUAUUCUGUGAGCAGGAAAGCAGGGGAUCGCAAGACCUUGCGCUGAGUGAGCGGCCGGUGUCAGAUUAGCUAGUUGGUGAGGUAAAGGCUAACCAAGGCGACGAUCUGUAGCGGGUCUGAGAGGAUGAUCCGCCACACUGGAACUGAGACACGGUCCAGACUCCUACGGGAGGCAGCAGUGGGGAAUUUUGGACAAUGGGGGCAACCCUGAUCCAGCCAUGCCGCGUGAGUGAAGAAGGCCUUCGGGUUGUAAAGCUCUUUCGGCCGGGAAGAAAUCGCACGGGCUAAUACCCUGUGUGGAUGACGGUACCGGAAUAAGAAGCACCGGCUAACUACGUGCCAGCAGCCGCGGUAAUAC